rnacentral:rRNA from 1 species
UGUUUCGGCUAGGGGGCCAUCCCGGCUUACCAACCCGAUGCAAACUGCGAAUACCGGAGAAUGUUAUCACGGGAGACACACGGCGGGUGCUAACGUCCGUCGUGAAGAGGGAAACAACCCAGACCGCCAGCUAAGGUCCCAAAGUCAUGGUUAAGUGGGAAACGAUGUGGGAAGGCCCAGACAGCCAGGAUGUUGGCUUAGAAGCAGCCAUCAUUUAAAGAAAGCGUAAUAGCUCACUGGUCGAGUCGGCCUGCGCGGAAGAUGUAACGGGGCUAAACCAUGCACCGAAGCUGCGGCAGCGAACGUAUCACUUAAAGCGAUUCAGCGGGUUACGAUUGACGGAGCGAAGCGACGUCAAAGCGUAUACAAAGUCGAGUCGGUUUAAGGAUACGUUCGUUGGGUAGGGGAGCGUUCUGUAAGCCUGUGAAGGUGGCC